AGUGGAGCAAGUAGUUUUCAAAUGAGCAAGGGUGUCAGGCUGGGAUGGAGAUGUGAGCAGACAAAGGGUGCUAAAGUCACUCUUUUCCUUUGUAAAAGGAUUUUUAUUUUUAUGUCUAUGGGUGUUUUUCUGCUCUUAGGUAUGUGUACUACUUGUGUGCUGGAGGAGGCCAGAAGAGGGCAUCAGAUCCCUCAGAACUGGAGUUACAGGCAGCUAAGAGCUGCCACUGGCAUGCUGGGAUUUGAACCUCACCCAUUCCUCCGGAAGAGCAAUCAGAGAUCCUAACUAACUACUCAACCACAUCUCUAAUUCUUCUUACCAUCUCUGUUUCUCCCUCUUUGUUUCUUCCCUUCCUUCCUUCCUUAAUUGUGUGUUCUAGGGGUUAGAAGGCAGGGAGGAGAGGAAGCAAGAGACACAGAAUUAACAACGACAGAACCUUGCAAUGAAUCUUUUGGGAAUGAGAGCUCUGAUCAAGAGAAAGUUAAAAAAAAAUUGCCAGGUAGGGGAUGCCAAUCAAUAGAAACUGGAGACUCUUUGUAGUGACUUUGAGAGUCUCCUUCUACAACCCCCACAACAGAUGCACAUUUAAGAGUCUAGGGACUGUUGAAAAAACAACAAACUUCUUUGUUGUUGUUGUUGUUGAGAGUCUUGUUAUGUAUAGCAGACUGCCCUGGAUCCUGUGACUGAGCAAAUUUUGUGUUUUGAGACAGGUUCUCCCCAUGUAGCCCAGCUUAACUCUGAACUCACUACUUGACCCAUGUUGGUCUCAAGCAAUCUCCCUGAGAGAGUGGGAGGGAUGCACUUCUAUUCUACGUAGGGUGAGGGCUUGUCGUGCAGCUGUAGGUAUGUCAAAGAGGGUUCAUCUACGGGAAAAUGGGGACGUGUCUGUCAGAGCGCUGCGAUGUUGCUGUGGGCACCGCACAGAGUAAGUAGGGAAGGAAAGGAGAUGCUUGGCUCGGGUACCGCUGCGUCCAUCACCCAGGACUCUACAGGAGCACAGGGCGGGAGGCCCAACCCUCUCCCCAGCUCGCAAAUUCUAGUAGACAUCGAAGCUAGUGCACCAGGAGACUUAGUAGGGACGCCUCCGGUAUCCAUGGCGACUGAGCUAGGCGCUAGUAACCACAGCGGACGAUACAGCUCGGAGAGGAUCCAGAGCCGCACCUUCUUAUCCCGAACGUCGACCGGGAUGACCCGGAAGUCUGUGUGGUGAUCCGGAAGCAGAUCCAAGCGACAGCCCCCCAGGAGCCACCGCCCCCUCUUCGCGGUGCUCGUGCUUAGUGCUGCGUGGAGUCCGGCACAGCUGGGGCUGCCCGAUGGUCCCCAGCUGGCGGAAGCACGGGCGGAGGGAGGAUGACCUCUCCUUGGGGUCACAGUGCGGACCUGGCCCGCUUCUACACUGUCACCGAGCCCCAGCGACACCCCAGGGGCUACACUGUCUAUAAGGUUACCGCACGGGUUGUUUCACGGAGAAAUCCAGAGGACGUCCAGGAGAUAAUUGUGUGGAGGAGAUACAGUGACUUCAAGAAACUGCACAGAGAAUUAUGGCAAAUUCACAGGAAUGCAUUUCGACACUCUGAGCUAUUUCCCCCGUUUGCUAAAGGGACAGUGUUUGGGCGGUUCGACAAGACGGUGAUUGAGGAGCGACGGCAGUGUGCUGAGGACCUGCUGCAGUUCUCUGCCAACAUCCCCGCCCUGUACAACAGCAGGCAGCUCCAGGACUUCUUCAAGGGUGGGGUAAUUAGUGAUGGCUCUGAGUUAAUUGGCCCUGCUGAAGCUUACCCAGACUCCCCGGCCAACGCCUUUCCUGAGUGCGGUACUGAAGGAUUCUCCAGUGACAGUGACCUUCUGUCCCUCACUGUUGAUGCAGACUCUCUUGCCGAGGUAGAUGAUGGAAUGGCUUCCCGUCAGGGUUCUCCCAGUAGAACCUUUGGUCUGAGUCUGUCUACGGAUUCUUCGGCAGUAGGGGCUGUUGCUUCUGACAGUGAACCAAGCAGAGUAGAAGACCGGGAAAGCCGCAGCCUCUUCCCCAGCAGCUUAAAGCCAAGGCUUGGCAGGAGAGAUUACCUGGAGAAGGCAGGGGAACUUAUCAAACUGGCCUUAAAGAAGGAGGAGGAAGAUGACUAUGAAGCUGCUUCUGACUUUUACAGGAAGGGCGUCGAUCUGCUCCUAGAAGGUGUACAAGGAGAGUCGAGCCCCACGCGUCGGGAGGCUGUGAAGAGAAGGACUGCGGAGUACCUCAUGCGUGCAGAGAGCAUCUGUAGCCUCCGGGCCGCGCCUCAGCUCCACACGGGACCACAGCCUCCAGGAUCACUAAGUUCAAGGCCCCCUUGGAGCCUGAGGAGCCCUGCCGAGGAGCUGAAGGCCUUCCGAGUCCUUGGGGUGAUUGACAAGGUUUUACUUGUAAUGGAUACAAGGACAGAGCAGACAUUCAUUUUAAAAGGUCUAAGGAAAAGCAGCGAGUGCAGCAGGAACAGAAAGACCAUCAUCCCCCGCUGUGUGCCUAACAUGGUGUGUCUGCACACGUACAUCAUCUCGGAGGAAUCGGUGUUUCUCGUGCUGCAGCGCGCCGAAGGUGGAAAACUCUGGUCGUAUAUCAGUAAAUUUCUGAACAGAAGCUCUCAGGAAAGCUUGGACAUUAAGGAAGGGAGACCGUCCAUGCCUCCUCGAGUGUGCCUGCAGCAGCCAAGUGCCAGUCCCCAGGGCGGCAGCAGCUUCGAGUCCAGAGGGAGCGACACGGGGAGCAUGCUGAAGGCUCUGCCUCUGAAGACCAGUCUCACCCCGAGUUCUCAAGACGACAGCAACCAGGAAGACGACGGCCAGCCCAGCUCUCCCAAGUGGCUGGAUUCGGGCUCCAGUUCAGAGGAUGAGUGCACAGCGGGCUACCUGACGCUGUGCAACGAGUAUGGGCAAGAAAAGAUGGACCUGGUGUCUCUGAGCGAGGAGUCUGUUAUGCAGCCUGAAGGGGACAAGGCUGACACCCAGGCGGUUAGUUCCCCAGCAUCCCUCGCCACUGGCAGUGUGAGCCCUAGCACCCACCUCAGGGUCUUCUCUGGAGGUGAGGAUCUAGAGGCGGUUUCUUCUCCUCCAACAUCUGAAUCCCUCAGUAGGUCAAAAAACAGCCCUAUGGAAUUCUUCAGAAUAGACAGUAAAGACAGCACAAGUGAGCUCCUGGGACUGGAUUUUGGUGAGAAAUUACACAGUCUGAAACCAGAGCCUUUGAAAGCCCUCUUUACCCUUGAAGAUGGAGACAGCCCUUCUCAGAGUCUUGAUCCUGGUGAGAGCAAGAGAGAGAGUGAAGCUCAGGACUCCGUGAGCCGGGGCUCAGAUGAUUCCGUCCCAGUUAUCUCAUUUAAAGAGGCGGCUGCAGAGGCUAUCAGUGGGGCUGAGGAGGGAAGGCCUGACCUUCUUGUGAAUUUACCUGGGGAACUGCAGCCAACCAAAGAGGCUUCAGCAAUGGACCCUAAGUUUUCACAGGCCAGUGCAGGCAGGCUGGAUAGUAAACUGCUGGAAGCCCCGGAUGUGUUGUGCCUCAGGCUGAGUUCUGAACAGUGCCAUGGUCUGGGACCAGAAGGCCCAGAGGAACUGAGCGAUCCCACUGAAUUCUGUCCCGGAGGUGUGAUCCCAGAGCACGAUGCUCAGGCAGAUCCCGGGGUGCUAUUCGAGGCUGCCGUUGAUCACAGGAGCUCCCCAGACCAGUUUCUGUUUUCCAGCUUGCGUUCCGAGUCUGACAGGCUGGGGCAGGUGGAGGUAGUGGUCACUGCACAGGCCUUGCAAGAAAGCCUGUUCCACAUUUCUAGUCCCUGCUCAGGUGCUAAUAAAGAACACAGUGCAUACGCCGACACUGCCACGUCGGAGGAGGUGUUGCUGUUCACAGAACCGACUAAAGAAGAAGCGAACUCUCUGUUCCAGAGAGACUCGGAGGCCCAGGAGCGAGGUGUGGGAGCCGGGGAAGCAGACAAGGAAAUCCAUCAGAUCUUUGAGGACCUGGAUAAACGACUAGCAGCUAGCUCCAGGUUCUUCAUCCCAGAGGGCUGCAUUCAGAGAUGGGCAGCGGAAAUGGUGGUAGCCCUUGACGCCUUGCACAGAGAGGGGAUUGUGUGCCGAGAUCUGAACCCAAACAACAUCUUAUUGAAUGAUGGAGGACACAUUCAGCUAACGUAUUUUAGCAGGUGGAGUGAGGUUGAAGAUUCCUGCGACAGCGAUGCCGUAGCGAGAAUGUACUGUGCCCCAGGUUAGAGCACUCUCCUCAAAUGCUUCACUUGAAAGGUGGCUCUUGCUUCUCUCUGCCAGUUGUGCCUUUCACUAGUGGCUCACACACUCGUCGGGUCUGCUCACCCCUUCAGCCCUAACGAAGAAAAGUAGGGGAUUGAACUGUAUGGAAUCUAAGAUGAGGUUGGAGCAGUCACAGAAGAAACUGAAGCCUGUGAUUGGUGGAGCCUGGGUGCUGUCCUCUUCGAACUUCUCACUGGCAAGACGUUGGUGGAAUGCCACCCAGCCGGAAUAAAUACCCACACUACUUUGAACAUGCCAGGUUGUGUUUCUGAAGAGGCUCGCUCACUCAUCCAACAGCUCCUGCAGUUCAACCCUAUGGAGCGCCUGGGUGCUGGAGUGGCUGGUGUUGAAGAUAUCAAAUCUCACCCGUUUUUCACCCCUGUGGAUUGGGCAGAGUUGACAAGAUGAACACCACAAGGAUUGUCCUUACCAGACAGGUCCCUGGUGACAGAGUUCAGGAGUGGCUGGGCUUCAGGCACCUUGCAGCUAGUGUGCCAGAGUCUUGGGACAAGGACCUUAGAGGAAGUGAUGGGGCAGGAGAUUAACAGAUUGUCUUACACUUGCUGUCUGGAAAGAGAAGAGCUAGCCGCCCCAGCAGCUGCUAUGUGCACACCUUCCCCAAGGUGAGACGUAACUUGCUCAGUGUACCGCCUUGCCAGGAGGCUGGAAGUACAGAAGGAAGACUGAUGGGAGUCAAGGACCCUUUGGUGGCAGCUGAUGGUGCUUCUGCUAAACAAGACUGGUUUACACGAUAUAGUCAAUACUGCUGAGUGACACUAAAUGCGCUCUGUGAACAGUGUCACCAGUAGACUGGCAAAACAAAAUGGAGUGCCCAGUGCUGAGCAGGCUGGCUACCUCUGAGGAAAAACACUCUUGCCAGCUUUGAACUUUCUGGUCGAUGCUACUAACUCUGAGGGGCUCCUGGGAGCACACAUGUCCGUCCCCCAGUUCCCCUCUCCCCUGCGCUAUUUCCUGCAUCCUCUGCUGCGUCUUUUGGAUUCUGCUUUUCCUACUUCUGUUAACACACAUGCAGUGAGAAAGGGAGGGGUAUUUAUUUCCCCCAAACUGCCAGCUUAACAAGACUAAGAAAUCAUGGUGUCAAAUAAAUGUGGUUAAACCUUG